GGUUCUUCUCAUCCCCAGAGCUCACUGUUGAAGAAGAAGAAGAAGAAGAAACUGUUGUUGGACUGAGAUUGACAAAUAAAUAUGAAUGAUGGCAGCUUGUUUUAGAAGACCUAAAUAAAACAAAAAAAAUCAUGGGCUUUCAACAGUGUUUCUUAUAAGGAUGUCCUAACCUUCAGAUGGCGAGGAGAUGCCACCAUCUACAGCCCAGCUCUCCACGUGACCACCUCCCAUGAGAGCUCCUGCCUGCAUCGUCAUCUCGGCUUCUGAACCACAAGCACACAGGGAGGGGUACGGAUGGGGAAGCUCCCACCUGCAUCUGGUCUGCUGGGUAAAAUCUAGUGGUGUCAGCACAGUCCAAGGCACUGGGAGGCAUGCAGUUUGUGCUUCUGGGAGGAAGAAAUGGAAAUACAAACAGUGCACACCAUUCUCUAUUAACUGCCCUGGGAAUGGAGAGGCAAAGCAGGCUAUCUACCACAGCAGGCUGCUUCAUUGGGUAUGCAAACUUCCUCUUUUAAUGUUGACAUUGAAAUGCCAUCUGUACCAAGACUUUCUAGAUGCCAUUAUGAAAGUGACUCCCUGCUGUCCCCGUUUUAUGGUGCCCUGUGUCUAUUAA
rnacentral:lncRNA from 1 species